rnacentral:rRNA from 1 species
GUAGGCUGCAACUCGCCUACACGAAGUUGGAAUUGCUAGUAAUCGUGGAUCAGCAUGCCACGGUGAAUACGUUCCCGGGUCUUGUACACACCGCCCGUCACACCAUGGGAGCUGGUAACACCCGAAGUCAGUAGUCUAACCGCAAGGAGGACGCUGCCGAAGGUGGGAUUAGCGACUGGGGUGAAGUCGUAACAAGGUAUC